rnacentral:rRNA from 1 species
UAGGGAAUCUUCCGCAAUGGACGCAAGUCUGACGGAGCAACGCCGCGUGAGUGAAGAAGGAUUUCGGUUCGUAAAACUCUGUUGUUAGAGAAGAACAGCGCAUAGAGUAACUGUUAUGCGUGUGACGGUAUCUAACCAGAAAGCCACGGCUAACUACGUGCCAGCAGCCGCGGUAAUACGUAGGUGGCAAGCGUUGUCCGGAUUUAUUGGGCGUAAAGCGAGCGCAGGCGGUCAAUUAAGUCUGAUGUGAAAGCCCCCGGCUCAACCGGGGAGGGUCAUUGGAAACUGGUUGACUUUAGUGCAGAAGAGGAGAGUGGAAUUCCAUGUGUAACGGUGAAAUGCGUAGAUAUAUGGGGGAACACCAGUGGCGAAGGCGACUCUCUGGUCUGUAACUGACGCUGAGGCUCGAAAGCGUGGGUAGCAAACAGG